UGUUCUGUGGCUUAGAUGGCCAAAGCACCAGUGUGGCUUAGAUGGUUAAAGCACCGAUUGUGGGUUCGAAUCCCACCUGAACGC
rnacentral:tRNA from 1 species